rnacentral:lncRNA from 1 species
AUCAAACUAUAAAUACGCAUUACACAGGCCACUCACUAGUUUAAUUAAAAUAAAUUACAACUUUUGAGUAUGUAUCAUUAAAUGAUUGGAUCUCAGUCCAUCAAAAUUGUACUCAAAUUCUAAGUGAGCAAGAUAAAUAUUGGGAAGGAGAAUUUAACAUAUGUUGAUAAAGGGAAAAUCAAUUAAAUUCAAGAAAUGGUUGAUACAUCAGCAACCACAAAGUCAUACAACAUAAAUCUAUCAUUCAUAUUAAUUUAAGCCGCAUGGCACGACAAAAGGCAACUCUAGACGUAUGGUUGUGGCCUGGGCAUGUCCUUGACGAUGCCGCAAAGAAGUUGAGAGUCAAGAAUGUUGUACUCAUCCCUCAAAGAACGUUCUGGGGACAAAACACUAAUGUAGAGUUGUUGGCCCAAGUAACGAUUUUCAGCAUGCUCCGACCUCAAGUUCCACAUACCGGCAUUGUCGAAUGUCAACAUGAUUGCUGCCCAAGAUUUGGGGAAGACUUGAACGGUGUGUCUGCUCACGGUAUCAAGAAGGUUGUAGUUCUUCCUCUUCUCUGGGGUCCACUUUCCUGGUUCUACCCUGCAGAUCAUAGGAUAUAAAACAAAACGUGUAAAAAUUAAGUAUUUAAUUAAAUUC